rnacentral:rRNA from 1 species
UACGGGGGGGGCAAGCGUUGUUCGGAAUUACUGGGCGUAAAGGGCUCGUAGGCGGCCAACUAAGUCAGACGUGAAAUCCCUCGGCUUAACCGGGGAACUGCAUCUGAUACUGGAUGGCUUGAGUUCGGGAGAGGGAUGCGGAAUUCCAGGUGUAGCGGUGAAAUGCGUAGAUAUCUGGAGGAACACCGGUGGCGAAGGCGGCAUCCUGGACCGGUAUUGACGCUGAGGCGCGAAAGCCAGGGGAGCAAAGCAGG